rnacentral:rRNA from 1 species
UACGUAGGGGGCUAGCGUUGUCCGGAAUCAUUGGGCGUAAAGCGCGUGUAGGCGGUCCGGUAAGUCCGCUGUGAAAGUCGGGGGCUCAACCCUCGGAUGCCGGUGGAUACUGUCGGGCUUGAGUACGGAAGAGGCGAGUGGAAUUCCUGGUGUAGCGGUGAAAUGCGUUGAUAUCGCUCGGAACACCGAAAGCGUAGGCAGGCUUCUGGGUGCCACCUGACACUGCUAGGACGAAAGCGUGGGGAGCGAAUGGG